GGAGGUCCCCGGGCUAGGGAUUCAUUCGGAGCUGUAGCCGCUGGCCUACACCACAGCCACAGCAUCACGGGAUCCAAGUCAUGUCUUCGACCCACACCACAGCUCAUGGCAACACCAGAUCCUUAACCCACUAAGCGAGGUCAGGGAUUGAACCCGCAUCCUCCUGGAUGCUAGUCGGGUUCAUUAACCUCUGAGUCAUGAUGGGAACUCCCCACUAUCUUCUUCAACCCUGAGCACACAGAGGUUAAGCAACAAGGCUGAGUGCUCCCAGAAGGAUGCGGUAGGACUUCCCACCUGGAAUCAAGACUGCUCUACUUCAAGGUCAACACUCUUCCCCCAACUCUGGAUGUGCUGUGGUUACAGGGGAUCUACUUGUCAGGUGGUCUAAAAUUUCUCCCUGUAGGCCACUCCUUUGGGCUACAUUGUUACCUGUUGGAGGCCACUGUUCAAGUAAAAACCAAUUUAAGGUAACAGAACACAGACAACUAGGGAGUGAGGAGAUGGAGCCUUGGACAAAUGCAUUGCGACGGAGGAAGAAGGUUGACGGAAGGUGUGGGGGUUCAGCCAGGUAUAAUGAUUCCACAAUAGGACCAGGGUCCCAGGGGUUAAUGAGAGAGCUCUGAGACCAGAAUAUAGUGGGGGUCAAAGCAGGGAAGGAACAGCUUCGAGAAGCCUCCACUGCUUCAGGUUUGCCUUCAGCCAGGCUUCUUUGCCAGCAUCAACCUUUGGACAAUUUGGACAAUUUCGAAUCUAUGGCUACAACAUCGUUUCUCCCACUUCUAACAGGCUCUCAGAGCCACUAGCUCAGAGGUAGAAGGAAUCCUUCUCCUGAUUGGUCCAUGCCCAGCAUCCCAGAAGAAACCCUUGGGCCCUUUGCAAGCAUCAAGUGGUUUAAAUCAUCACUGCAUUCAUACAUAGCCCUCUUCCAACAUCAUCUUUUCUGCAGUAUUAAUUAUUUUUCCUUUUCUUUCAUUGAAAAAGCUUUCAACAGAGAGGCUCCUAAUUAAUUUGAGGCAAGAAUAAUUUUUCCUACAUCUCGUUGCUUUCAGUCCGUGAUUAAAAGGAGGAAUUUCAAAGUGGGUAUCUUCAAACCUCGCAUGUAAUAUUGAGUGAUUCUGCUAAAUAGCUUUUAGAUGAGCUGUUCAUGUGUUAUUUUGAUGAGAGCUGGUGAUGAUAUGAUUCCUGAUAGAAUAUUAUCGAAUGCUGGGUUCUCUUUCUGAGUAAUAGGGGUCUUUGUGCAAAGGGAAGGACUCCAGCACCUCAUUUAGUAUAUUUAGUUAUUUUUGCCAUAAUAUUGCUCAUGGCCUCAUCUCUUCUGUAAAUUCUUCACAGCUUGCCUUGGGAUGCAUUGUUUCACAUACACAUACUGGAUCUUUCCAAUGGCAUUGUAGUCUUCUUCAGAGUGAGGCUAAGCUUUUCCCUAACAUUAAAGGUUGCAUUAUCUUGAUGAAAAGUACCAACUCCAUUCUGCUAGCUUAAAUAGAAAAGAGAGAUAAUUUGAUUUUAUAUAGAAUUGUUUGUUUCAUGGCCUUCAUGGGGCACUGGCACAGAAAUGGAAAGCCAUUCUGACCCUGAGGUGGGCAUGCUGGAUCAUGCUGUGAUUCAAAUUUGGGUAUCAGUUGGCAUUUAAAGGAUUAUGAAAGCCAAGGACAUAAAUGAAAUUGCCUAGGGAGGGAGCAUAAUGUGAGGCAGGAAUGAGAGGCGGAGGUAGUUCUUGAACAGUAUCAUUUAGUGACUAGAGAGCCCCCAAAGGGACAAGGAGAAUGGCUAAGACAAAGAGAAAGAAUACCAUAGCCUACUGCAUUGGCGAAAGUGUGAUCCAAUACAGGUCAACUGUGUUCGAUCCUGCUGAGGAGUUAAGAGAAGGAAAGAUGUCUUUUAAACUUAGCUGCACAGAGACCUUAGUGAGAAACAUUUCUGUGGUGUGAUGGGGGUGGAAGCUGGGAGUGGGUGAGGUUUGAGUGUCAGAUAAAGAACCGGAGAUAGCAAAUGUGAUUGAGGUUUUCAAGGAGUUCAUGAAGGGGAGGAAAGAACAAGGGGUGAUAGAUGACAGGGACACAGAAUCUGGGAAGAUGUCUUUCCUGGUGUUGGAAUGAUUCCAUCAUAGAAAUGGAAAAAGUUCAAGAUAGGUGAUUGUAGAGAGCAUCCUCUUUAAAAAUGUACACUCCUUCCCCCACUCCCUCUACACAUGUAUACAUGCACAAGCUAUUAUGUAGCCAUCAAUGUAUGGCUUUUCUGGCAGGAAAAUUCUCCAGAUAAAAAAGUAAAAUCCAAAGCUCUUCCUUUGACACUGACAUGCCCCGCAGCUAUCAUGACUGGCCAACCAGUCACAUAAUGAUGUUCAAAUCCUUUGUCCUGUGAAGCACAGGGGUCUCCUUUCAUAGGCCCCAGUCCCCCGAUGCAAGGAUUCCUAGUGUUUAUACAGCCUUUGCCCUGUGGAAUCUGAGAGCUAAGUUCCACCAGGCUUCUAAGCCGUGUGCUUUUUGUCUCUUACAAAAUGACCCGAAGUAGUCCUGUGCAUUUUUAAACAAUAGUUUGUACCCUCUAUUCUAAGUCAGACAGACAGGCUUGAGGGAGGGGAUUGCCACUUGUCAUUGACAAAGGCAGAAUUGGGCCUAGACUCCAAGUCUUCCAAGGCAGGACAGAGCCUUCCCACAAGGCAGACUGCUGCUUCAUUCUUCUUGCCGUUGGUGACACAGAGACCUUUAUCUUGAUAAAAAGUUCAACAGGUUACUUUUCCAUAUUGCUGCCAUGCCCACCCUUUUACAGGUGAGGAAACCACGGCCCAGAGAGCGUAAAUGACUCAGCCAAGUGCAGCAAGCUGAAUCUAGAACCAGGUCCUCCCUACCACAAGCCAGCAUGCUUAUGCCUGCAACGUGAGUGCAUGUGCGUGACAGACAGGCCUGGGUCACCCCAGCAACUCAGUCGGAGGAGCAAAGGCCUCCCUGUCUUAAAAACCUGACCAUCUCCCUUCAGACCCCUUGCAGCGAGGACUUAACAUUACCUCCACUUAGUCCCUCUGGGAAGCACCCUAGGUUUCCUGAACUAUAAAUAUUGAAUCCUGAGAGAUUUCCCCUCAGAUGGAGGUGCAGCUCAUAAAGCCUAACACCCGUGCUAAGAGUGACCUGAAAGAAAAAAAAUCUAACUUUCUUGCCCCAAUCUUAAUGAGCCAAUGGGGCCUUCCAAGAGAGAAACCUUCCCAAGUGCAAAGCAUCAAGGUGUGAGUGGUGACUUCUGACCACCACAGAACCCCCAAAUCACCACACCUCUUGCUGCCAUGGCGGGGAGGGCUGCCUCACCUUCUCACCCCAUUUCUCCAAAGAUGAGGUGGUCCCUGAGUCCACCAGCUGCUACUGGGCACCCAGCCUGCCGAGUCCAUGCCCUCCACACUGGCCCCAAUGUUGUCCUUUCAUCAUUUUUCCUCCUGAUGACCCAUUUUCUACCAAUCUGGAAGCUUUCAGUGGAUACAUUUCUCCUCUUAGCCCAACUGUGCAAUGGCCUACAGCCCUCUGUUCUCUGCCAUGUUCCCUGUGACCUGUCUCAAAGUCCUAGCACUCAUUCUUGGUUUCUAUGGCACUUUUUCAGGCUUAUCUCCUCGCCUCUUCCAGCUACUCAUUCCCCCAAGGACAUCCCAUUCCUAAGAUCUUUGUCUAAAGCUAUUGGAGAUGUGACAGGAACUAGGUGAUUAGACAAGGUGAUAUUACCUUAGGUCCAUUGCCUCCCCUGCUUUGCUGCCUAUUCUUCCAUAAUUUUGCAACUUGAUUGUCAGUAACAUUGCCUAAAACUCUAUUCUUUAACGUCAAAUCUCAAGUGCUUCAUCUUACCACCUGCCCUCAUUUCUCUACAGCAUUUGACACUUUUGACAAUGCCUCCCCCUCCAAACACACUUCCUUGAAAUUCCUUCCCCCUGGUUUUUGCAGCUUUCUCUGCAGCCUUUCUACCAUUUCUUUCUUUUACAGUCUGAUGACUUUCAAACCUUUCCUUCUGGAUGUUCUCAACCUCAACAUAUUUAAAGACAAAUUCAUAGUCUUCCUUUCAAAUUUACUUUCCUGUGUCUUGAAUGUCAUUACCAUCUCACAGCCUACCAUGCUGGAUACCAAAGUAUUUUCUUUGACUCUUCUCUAUUCUCAGACUACUCAUUCAAUUAUUUCCCAACUCCUGUUGAUUCUUCCUUCAAAACAUUUCCCAGCUCACACUAUCCUCUUCAUUACCACUCCAUUCUCUCCUUACUAACUCAUCUUGCCCAUCACUGAUGGGUUCGUCUCCUUAAAACACUCACCGGGCCUUUCCAACAUUGACUUCCACUUUCCACAUGAAACUAAAGUCCUUGUUCUAAAUUUUAAAUCCCUAAACAUGCCAGCCCUAUCCUCUUAAAACACUUUCCCUUCUCCUCCAUUUUGCCUCACCUUAAUCAUCCUGCAGGGCCCUGGUCUGGUCUCAGUUCCUCCUUCAUGCACCUGAUGACACACCUGGUCACCUUGAACUCCAGUUUCUUCUUGCUCUCACUGCUGAUACUUCUUCUAUUAAUAUAUAAGGCUAAUUAUUUUAUGAUGGGUGUAACUAUUCAAUUCAACAUAUGUUAAAGACAUACUUUAAUCAAGUCACCAAGCUGGAUAAUACAAUAGGUAGGAAGGAGAUACAGAGACAAUUAAAUCUACGUCACUGGCAGGUUUGAGGGCAGGGAGAAAGGUUUAGUCUUCCCAUAAUCUCCCUCAGCCACCCCCUCCACUCUUUAACAUGGCUAAUUUAUGUUCCUCAAUUUUAGGUAAAAUCUAUGGAGGCAUGGCUUUCCCAUCCAUCCAGAUGAAAAUUCUGGAAUCUCUCAGAUGAAAAUCUGGAAUCUCUCUUUUUCUGUUACAGACUGAAAAGGAAAAACUGUCAUUAUGUAGAGUAUUUUCACAGACCACAAUGCAAGACAUUAGAAAUCAACAACAAAAAGUGAACUACAAAAAAUAUCAAUACUUGUGUUAAAAUAAAAUAAGAUGGAGACUAGCCUUAAAAAUCCUUUAAGCAGGGAGUUCCCAUUGUGACUCAGUGGUAAUAAACCCGACUAGCAGCCAUGAGGAUGUGGGCAGGUUUGGUCCCUGGCCUCGCUCAGUAGGUUAAGGUUCCAGCGUCGUUGUGGCUGUGGUGUAGGCUAAAGGCUACAGCUCCAAUUCCACCCCUAGCCUGGGAACUUCCACAUGCCACAGGUGCACCCCUGAAAAGACAAAAACAAACAACAAACAAACAAAACCUUCACACAAACAAGGCAAUUUAAACCAUGUAAGUAAAAUUAAAUCUAGCUUAUUUUUUAUUAAAUAAGUGAAAUUUAACUUACAUUAUUUCUUGUAAAUCUCUCUGAUGAGCAUAACAGAAAUUUAAGUCACUUUCAAAAAAAUGGCACAAGAUAAUCACUUUUAAUCAAUUUCCUGCAUCUAGAAACUCCUAUUGUAAUAACUAAUCAUUGUAAAAGUUAAGCUGCUUCCUCACUUAUACUUUAUAAGCCAUCCUAUAAAGUUAUGCUUCUGAGUUUCAUGUCAGUCUUGAAAUUGAAAGCUCCCAGUUCAGGAGCUAUUCUUAUAUGUACAAUAAACUCUUAAAAAUACAAUUUUACUGAUCUAGUGGUUUUAAUUUUGCUACUUCUGG
rnacentral:lncRNA from 1 species